UACGAAGGGGACUAGCGUUGUUCGGAAUCACUGGGCGUAAAGCGCACGUAGGCGGAUUUGUAAGUCAGGGGUGAAAUCCCGGGGCUCAACCUCGGAACUGCCUUUGAUACUGCGGAUCUUGAGUCCGAUAGAGGUGGGUGGAAUUCCUAGUGUAGAGGUGAAAUUCGUAGAUAUUAGGAAGAACACCGGUGGCGAAGGCGGCCCACUGGAUCGGUACUGACGCUGAGGUGCGAAAGCCAGGGGAGCGAACGGG
rnacentral:rRNA from 1 species